GUUCCCUGAAACAGUAGAAAGCAGUACAAUCUUAGUACUGUUCUUAUGCCAGUUCGAAUGGUGUAAAACAUUUAAAGAUUUUGGAAAUUGAAUGUCCAGUGAAUGUUUGUUAAAAUGCUUGAACAACCAAAAAAGUUCAUUCUUGCAUGAUGUUUCUUUGAUGGGAGAUUGCUAGUAACUAUGGAAUCACUAGUAAUUAAGUGAUGAUUUUUGCAGGAGUUACUUACUUGAGUAUAUAUUUGAACUUAUUAAUUCAGAGAGUAGUUCUUGCAAUGUUUGAUUCAUGAGUGAUGCUUGAAGUUUCAGAUUUACUGUGGUACAACACAGUAUUUAAUUUAGUAGCAGAUGCACUUAAUUAAGUUUCAGUUCCAGUUCCAGUAUUUUUGUUAAUGUGCUUUCUUCUCCACCAAAGUCUAUUUUAUACUUUUGUUCGGUAUUUCCAGUUCCAGUUUCAGUUCUGGUUCCAGUCAUCCCGCCUGCAUAUCAAGGAAGGAAAUACACAAGAGAACAUGGUAGCUGGUGGGUCACAUCAAGAUUGCACAAUGAAGGAAAUGCAUCGAUGUUGGAGAUGAACCUUUUAGCUAUCAUUUUGUAAAACUGGAUCAGUCUGAACUUAUUGUCUCUAGUUUUUAAUCUAUUUUGGUAGUAAUGAACUUAGAUGAUGUUUCAUGCACAAUUUGUAAAUGUGAUGAAUUAAUGUAUCAUACUGUCGGUUGAUUGAUUUAAUAAUAUGCGUGUUGUUAAUUGGUGGAUUU